ACUCAGGCUUGAGUAUUCUUUUCUUUCUUAAUCCUCACUCCUCAACUCAGGCAUGUUUGUGUUGUGAUGGCGGGACCACCACAGUGGCACCCAAACAGGGACCUGAGUAUCAAGGAAUCUAGUGAAGGACACCACAGAGAAGAAUGAGGCCUCAGUGAAAAGGCUUCAGAUGAAGAUAAAAUAUUGGAAAUUUUGGAGAAAAUGACUACUUACUAGUUGCAUUUGAAACUACAUCUUAAGAAUUAGUACUAUAUCAUUUCAUUCAGAAGACUGUCCACCCUGACUACAAAUUUGCUUCUCUGAGAGGAUGUAUAUCCAGUAUAAGUUGGUAUUAUAACAUCUAUUAAAACAAUGCUAUGGGUUAAUAGAAACAGCCAAGAACCAAAGAAUUAAAAUACAAGGUAUGUAAAAGACCAACUAAAACCCAAAAGUAUCCAGUGUAUUCAUUCAUUAGCUAACUAAAAGCCCAAAAAAGAUAAG